CAGGAUAGCAGUAAUGUUUUACUGACUAGUGGUGCAAUAGCUGAACACCCUCCUCUUAGCUCAGCGCUCUUUCCCAAAUGAACUCCCAGGCUACCCAGCUAGGCUCCUCCCCCCCUGGAACAAUCUAAACCAAUAAAUGUAAUCUUUUAGAAUAAACAACGGAUAGUUUUCAUUUUACUUACUUUCUACAAUACAUUUUAUAAACAAGCAUAUCCAAAAGCUGUUUAUUCCGAUAGCAAAGUUAAAAAAAAAAAAAAAAAAAAAAAAAAAAACAGAUUUUCCCCUUUUUUUUAUAUUCCAAGACCAAAACCUCCCCCUCUGAUUUUGAAGGUGUGUUUGCCCGGGACUCCUGGCCACACCUUACCCAAGAUAGCGGCCCCUAUUACACAAACUUCCCUUACAGCUUUACAGCUAUACAACAGUCUCCCACCUCUCACAGCUGUGGUUCCACACACAGAUUAUAAGACCGGUCAACUCUCCCAUGUUCACCAGGAGUCUCCCAUAUUUUGGACACUUCUCUCUGACAUCACCUGGGACACAAUAUGAUGGCUAACACGAGCGGAAGCUGUCACCAAAAGCCAGCACUUAACCAGACAACACUGCACUAUUGUUCAUGAUUAAUUGUAUUUGCACCACGAGCACUAUAGCACUCACUGUGGACUU